UACAGAGGGUGCGAGCGUUAAUCGGAAUUACUGGGCGUAAAGGGCGCGUAGGUGGUUGACUAAGUUAGAUGUGAAAUGUCUGGGCUUAACCUGGAUUAGUCAUUUAAUACUGGUUGGCUAGAGUACAGUAGAGGGUAGUGGAAUUUCCAGUGUAGCGGUGAAAUGCGUAGAUAUUGGAAGGAACACCAGUGGCGAAGGCGGCUACCUGGACUGAUACUGACACUGAGGCGCGAAAGCGUGGGGAGCGAACAGG
rnacentral:rRNA from 1 species